ensembl:ncRNA
AAUCACAGGAUUAUACUGUGAG